rnacentral:lncRNA from 1 species
AUGUGGUGUAAUUUGUGUCUGAGUCAGGACUUGAGUCUAUAUUUCAGAGCUUUAGGUUUAGCCCUUCGCCUGCAGUGGAUGAAUUUAUGUCUGAUUGCUUCACGUUACAGAGAGUGGUGGCAGGAAGCCCAAAAGAACCCGAAGAUAAGGCCCAAUCCUCACGACACCAAGGUGAAGAAAAAGCUGCGGAAGUUGCAGCUCACCCCUGGCUUUCCCAACCCCGCGGUGGCAGACGCCUACCUCAGGCCCGUGGUGGAUGACUCCAAGGGCUCGUUUCUGUGGGGCCGACCCGACGUGGACAAAAUCAGAGAAUUUUGUCAGCGGUACUUCGGCUGGAGCAGGACCAAGACAGACGAAUCUCUGUUUCCGGUAUUAAAGCAGCUGAGUGCCCAGCAGACACAGCUCCGAGUUGAUUCUUUCUUCAGAAUGGCUCAGCAGGAGAGACAGGAGACCAAACGCAUUAAGAGCCAGAGACUAAGCAGAGCUGUGACGUGUAUGCUGAGGAAGGAAAGAGAAGCAGCAGCCAGUGAGCUAGAAGCAGUUUCUGUUGCUAUGGAGAAAGAGUCCGAGAUCCUUGAUGAAGAAAAAGAAAAAGCUCAGAAGGGAAACCGGGCACAGAAAGCGGAAGAGGCAGCAAGCCUGAAGAGAAAGCGAGUUUCAGAAUCGAGCCAAGAGGGUAGCCGGGGAGGGUUUUUGGGGAAGAUCUACCUCUCGGAGUCACCGGGCACAUCUUCUGGUGAAGAUUCUCGAAGUUUGCCUUUGGUGAGCACACAGAGCAGAAGAGAAGCUAAAGACUCCGGAGUCAGCUCUGCAGGUUUGCGGCGCUCAGUGCGGGAAGUGCCCGUGCAGGACAGAGAUGGGACCACCAGCAGCUCUAGCGACGAGGGUGGAGAGAAGCCCAAGGCUGUGCUGGUGACCGCCAGGCCUGUGUUUGGGAAGAGAAAGGGGAGGCUGAGACGUGCAAGAGCACGAAAAAGGAAAACUUAAUUCAGACAUACUCCUGUGAUUAUGUGGGGGUGACAUUUUGUAAUGAAUUUGGUUGUGAGGAUAUUAUAAAAUUAAUUUUUGUGUGUGUGAAUUUUUUGAAAAAAGUAGCUGCUGAACUUACAAUGAUGUUUCACCAUGUUAUGUUUUUCUAGUAUUUUCUACUUCAUUGAGUAUUUCCUUGCCUUUGCAGGCUUUCUCUUUAUGAUUUUAUCUUACAAUAUCUGAUGCUUUCGGACCACAUUAAACAAAACAGAAUUUGUAUUGAUCGGCAAUUA